rnacentral:tRNA from 1 species
UUUAGAGUUUUUUAUCUUGCUUACAACAAGUUAUUUGUUAACUCUUGAU